GACGAACGCUGGCGGCAUGCCUUACACAUGCAAGUCGAACGGCAGCAUGGAGAGCUUGCUCUCUGAUGGCGAGUGGCGAACGGGUGAGUAAUGCAUCGGAACGUACCGUGUAAUGGGGGAUAACGUAGCGAAAGUUACGCUAAUACCGCAUACGACCUGAGGGUGAAAGCAGGGGAUCGCAAGACCUUGCGUUAUACGAGCGGCCGAUGUCAGAUUAGCUAGUUGGUGAGGUAAAGGCUCACCAAGGCGACGAUCUGUAGCGGGUCUGAGAGGAGGAUCCGCAACACUGGGACUGAGACACGGCCCAGACUCCUACGGGAGGCAGCAGUGGGGAAUCUUGGACAAUGGGGGCAACCCUGAUCCAGCCAUGCCGCGUGAGUGAAGAAGGCCUUCGGGUUGUAAAGCUCUUUCGGCCGGGAAGAAAUCGCACAGGCUAAUACUCUGUGUGGAUGACGGUACCGGCAUAAGAAGCACCGGCUAACUACGUGCCAGCCGCCGCCGUAA
rnacentral:rRNA from 1 species